GGAUCAGCCCACGGCCUAUCAGCUUGUUGGUGGGGUGAUGGCCUACCAAGGCGACGACGGGUAGCCGGCCUGAGAGGGCGACCGGCCACACUGGGACUGAGACACGGCCCAGACUCCUACGGGAGGCAGCAGUGGGGAAUAUUGCACAAUGGGCGAAAGCCUGAUGCAGCGACGCCGCGUGAGGGAUGACGGCCUUCGGGUUGUAAACCUCUUUCAGCAGGGAAGAGGCGCAAGUGACGGUACCUGCAGAAGAAGCACCGGCUAACUACGUGCCAGCAGCCGCGGUAAUACGUAGGGUGCGAGCGUUGUCCGGAAUUAUUGGGCGUAAAGAGCUCGUAGGCGGCCUGUCGCGUCGGAUGUGAAAGCCCGGGGCUUAACCCCGGGUCUGCAUUCGAUACGGGCAGGCUAGAGUUCCGUAGGGGAGAUCGGAAUUCCUGGUGUAGCGGUGAAAUGCGCAGAUAUCAGGAGGAACACCGGUGGCGAAGGCGGAUCUCUGGGCCGAUACUGACGCUGAGGAGCGAAAGCGUGGGGAGCGAACAGGAUUAGAUACCCUGGUAGUCCACGCCGUAAACGUUGGGAACUAGGUGUGGGCGACAUUCCACGUC
rnacentral:rRNA from 2 species